CUGACAUGCGUGCGAGUCGACGGGUUCUGAAACCUGGGAUGCGCAAGGAAGCUGACGAGCGGGAGGCCCUCACGGGCCACACCGCUGGCCGACCCUGUCUUCUGUGAAGGGUUCGAGUUGGAGCACGCCUGUCGG
rnacentral:rRNA from 1 species